AACGCACCUUGCACUCUUUGGUAUUCCGAAGAGUAUGUCUGUUUGAGUGUCAUGAAACUCUCAACCCCCUCAUUUUGUAAAGAAGUGUAGCGUGGGCUUGGAUUGUGGCUGUUGAUGGCUUGAUGCCAACUCGGCUGAAAUACACUGAGCGGCCCGUAGAAAACACAGAGACGGCUUGACUUGGCGUGAUAACUAUUUCGCUGAGGACGUCCCUAUUUUCAAAGUCGGCGCUUCUAAUGCAUCUAAAUCUUAAGCUUUAGACCUCAAAUCAGGCAGGACUACCCGCUGAACUUAA
rnacentral:misc_RNA from 1 species